rnacentral:rRNA from 1 species
AGAGUUUGAUCAUGGCUCAGGAUAAACGCUGGCGGCGUGCUUCAGGCAUGCAAGUCGAACGGACACUACGGUGUCAGUGGCGGACGGGUGAGUAACACGUAAGUAACCUGCCCAGAAGUGGGGAAUAACCCGCCGAAAGGCGAGCUAAUACCGCAUAUGAUGGCUUUUCUCUGGAGAGGUCAUUAAAGGCUUAGGUCGCUUCUGGAGGGGCUUGCGGCUGAUUAGCUAGUUGGUGGGGUAAUGGCCUACCAAGGCUACGAUCGGUAGCUGGUCUGAGAGGACGGACAGCCACACGGGGACUGAGAUACGGCCCCGACUCCUACGGGAGGCAGCAGCUAGGAAUCUUGGGAAUGGGCGAAAGCCUGACCCAGCAACGCCGCGUGGGCGAUGAAGGCCUUCGGGUUGUAAAGCCCUUUUGCGGGGGAAGAUGAUGACGGUACCCCGCGAAUAAGCCACGGCUAACUACGUGCCAGCAGCCGCGGUAAUACGUAGGUGGCAAGCGUUGUCCGGAUUUACUGGGCGUAAAGGGCGUGCAGGCGGCCUGUUAAGUCUAGGGUGAAAGCUCCCGGCUCAACUGGGAGAGGUCCUUGGAUACUGGCAGGCUUGAGGGAGGCAGAGGAAAGUGGAAUUCCCGGUGUAGUGGUGAUAUGCGUAGAUAUCGGGAGGAACACCAGUGGCGAAGGCGGCUUUCUGGGCCUUACCUGACGCUGAGACGCGAAAGCGUGGGGAGCGAACCGGAUUAGAUACCCUGGUAGUCC